UACGGGGGGGGGCAAGCGUUGUUCGGAAUUACUGGGCGUAAAGGGCUCGUAGGUGGCCAACUAAGUCGGACGUGAAAUCCCUCGGCUUAACCGGGGAACUGCGUCCGAUACUGGUUGGCUUGAGUUUGGGAGAGGGAUGCGGAAUUCCAGGUGUAGCGGUGAAAUGCGUAGAUAUCUGGAGGAACACCGGUGGCGAAGGCGGCAUCCUGGACCGGUAUUGACACUGAGGCGCGAAAGCCAGGGGAGCAAACGGG
rnacentral:rRNA from 1 species